rnacentral:rRNA from 1 species
GACGAACGCUGGCGGCGUGCUUAACACAUGCAAGUCGAACGGAAAGGCCCUGCUCUUGUGGGGUGCUCGAGUGGCGAACGGGUGAGUAACACGCGUGUAUCCUGCCCUUGACUUUGGGAUAACUUCAGGAAACUGGGGCUAAUACCGGAUAGGAGCUCCUGCUGCAUGGUGGGGGUUGGAAAGUUUCGGCGGUUGGGGAUGGACUCGCGGCUUAUCCGCUUGUUGGUGGGGUAGUGGCUUACCAAGGGUUUGACGGGUAGCCGGCCUGGGAGGGUGACCGGCCACAUUGGGACUGAGAUACGGACCAGACUCCUACGGGAGGCAGCAGUGGGGAGUAUUGCACAAUGGGCGGAAGCCUGAUGCGGCAACGCCGCGUGCGGGAUGACGGCCUUCGGGUUGUAAACCGCUUUCGCCUGUGACGAAGCGUGAGUGACGGUAAUGGGUAAAGAAGCACCGGCUAACUACGUG